GCUUCGGUGGUGCAACGGUGUAGCGCACCUGCUCCAGGAAAGAGUAAGAUCUGGGUUUAAAUCCCGGCUGACGCA